GAUUAUAAAUAAGAUCGUUGGUUGUGCUGUCUGGGACAAACAAUUGCAUGACGUCAUUUGUCAUAGCGAUAAUCUCAAUAUUGACUGUUGAGCUUAUUGGAUAGAGCGCAAUGUCGUGUAGGAUAUGAAGUCGAUGGGGUUGAUUUUUCUUUAUGUUGUGGGGGCCAAAUUUUACUUACAAGCAUUAAAUAAUUGAGUGACGUCGUUUCUUAUUGUAACAUAAUGACAAUAAUGAGCUCAGUGUGUAGAGCUGGAUGUCGUGUAGAAUGUGAAGAUGUUUUGUGGAAGACCUAAACAUGUAGAUAUAUUAACACAUAAUAUGCAUCAGUAUGCCACGUCUCUAUAAACGAAAAACCAGAAGGGGAAAUACACCCAUAGAUAUCUUAGAGAGAGCUGCUGCGGAUGUUAGAGGUGGUAAAGGUAUACGCUCUGCUGCUAAGGAUUUUGGAGUGGACAGAAUGACAUUAAAGCGUUUUAUCUCAAAACGUGAUGUUGACCCUGAAGCUAUAACUGGAUAUUCUGCCGUCUCUAGAUCACAUGCAGUGUUCACACCCAAAAUGGAAGAGGAUCUUGCAAAUCAUGUGAAACAGCUUUGUGAUCAAUUCCAUGGUUUAUCUCUACAAAAAAUUUCUUAAACUUGCAUAUGAAUUUGCAUCAUGUAACAAUCUGCUUAUGCCAGACAAUUGGCAAAGAGAUGGUAAAGCAGGAAAGGACUGGUGGUUUGGUUUCAAACAAAGACAUCAAGAUGGUUUUGUUUGACAUUUUGUUAAUGAUGUGUUUUUCCAAUUAAUAGUAACCAUGUUUGUGCAUUCUGAAAACAAAAAAUAUUUACUGACAUUAAGAUUGUUAUGUUUGACAUUUUAUGAUUAAUUGCCUUUUGUUUUUUGGUUACUGUAGAGUUUUGAAGAACACUUUUUGUUAUAUUUGUGUUCACAUUUCUAGUAACCAUGUUUGCGUUACUAAAGUGUAUUCAGAGAGCCUUAUUGAUGUUAAGACCGCUAUUUUUGACCUGUCAUGGUUAACAUGGGUUUUUUUCUUUUGGCUGUAUAGUAACCAUGUUAGGAUUACUAAAGUGCUUAUAAAAAUGUACUAACGUGAAGACAGUUAUAUUUGAUAUUUCAUAGUUCAUGUUUUGUUUUCCUUGGCUCCAGUAAUCAUGCUUGCAUUACUAAAGUGCUCAUAGAAUGCUUUACUGAUAUUAAGAUAUUUAUAUUUCACAUGUCAUAGUGAAUGAUGUGGUAUUGCUUGGCCAACAGUUUUGAAAAACACUUUUUAAAGUUUCAUUACGUUCAAAUUUAUUUGUUUUUACAUUGUUUGUGUUAUUAAAGUACAUCCAGUUAAAGUUUAACUGAUAAUAAACAUUUUUCAUUAUG